rnacentral:rRNA from 1 species
AACGAACGCUGGCGGCAGGCCUAACACAUGCAAGUCGAGCGCGCCCUUCGGGGUGAGCGGCGGACGGGUGAGUAACGCGUGGGAACGUGCCCUUUUCUACGGAAUAGCCUCGGGAAACUGAGAGUAAUACCGUAUACGCCCUUUGGGGGAAAGAUUUAUCGGAAAAGGAUCGGCCCGCGUUGGAUUAGGUAGUUGGUGGGGUAAUGGCCUACCAAGCCGACGAUCCAUAGCUGGUUUGAGAGGAUGAUCAGCCACACUGGGACUGAGACACGGCCCAGACUCCUACGGGAGGCAGCAGUGGGGAAUCUUAGACAAUGGGGGCAACCCUGAUCGAGCCAGGCCGCGUGAGUGAUGAAGGCCUUAGGGUUGUAAAGCUUUUUCAGCUGGGAAGAUAAUGACGGUACCAGCAGAAGAAGCCCCGGCUAACUCCGUG